CAGGGAGACAACAAAAUGUAAAUAUUAAUUUUGUCACCUUAGGUCGAUCGGUAUCUCAGAUUCUUAUCUUUUAAGAAUUUCAGUUUCUAAGUUUUUUCUAGGUCACACCCAUCACUUUUUCCUGGGCCAUUAGCUCAGGUGGUUAGAGCGCACCCCUGAUAAGGGUGAGGUCCCUGGUUCAAGUCCAGGAUGGCCCAUAUCUCUAUGUUGGGGGUAUAGCUCAGUUGGUAGAGCGCCUGCUUUGCAAGCAGGAUGUCAGCGGUUCGAGUCCGCUUACCUCCACUGAAUACCACCUCUUACAUUUAUUUAAAGAGGGAAAUUGUUUUGAGUCGUGUCCUAAUUUGCUCUGAGCGAAUCUAGCUUCCUAUUUAAUUUAAUAAAUAAGAUGCUGGACUCAUUGAAAUUUUUUCAUUGUUUUCAGAGAACCUUGACAACUGCAUAGAUUAUUUUUGAAGACAAUAAGCAUCUUUAAUGAUGCAGAUUUAUUAUUUGUGCGAAUGCACUAAAUAACAAUUCUAUUAAGCUGAUGCUUCAAUUAUUGAAGUUAUU
rnacentral:tRNA from 1 species